CCCUUAGAUGUUCUGGGCAGCACGCGCGCUACAAUGGUCUUCGCAAACGGAUGCAUUCUCGAAGGAGAAUGCCAAUCUUGGAAUCUAUGCCUUGGUCGGGACAGUUGCUUGCAAUUUUUCGACUCGACCCAGGAAUUCCUUGUAAUCGUGAUUCAUCACAUCACGAUGAAUACGUCCCUGCCCGUUGUACACACCGCCCGUCGCUCCUACCGAUCGAAGAGUUAGGUGAAUUGUUUUGAUCGAUAAGAUUUGACUAUGGUCAACUCUCGUUGUGAAAUUCUGUGAAUCUGACUGUUUAGAGGAAGGAAAAGUCGUAACA
rnacentral:rRNA from 1 species